UGUCCGCACGGUGGACGAACGAAACCAGCCGCCCCUUCUUCCCCCGACUUGACAAACCCUAGGCGACCAGGACCAGCCGUCCCUGCCCCCCCGGUCCGUUGCCCGCCCCUUCGAUCCCUUCUGCGGUCAUGCGGGCGUCAGGUUGCGCCACUGCCGCGCUGCGCGCUGCUGCUCCGUCCGGCGAGGCGUGGAGGCGGCGACUCCGGCGAGGCUUGGCGUCCGCGAGGUGCUCGAUCCCUUCUUCCUGGCGUCCGGCGAGGCGCGGUGGCGGCGACUCCGGCGAGGCUUGGCCUCCGCGAGGUGCUCGAUCCCUUCUUCCUGGCGUCCGGCGAGGUGCUGGUUUGCCAGGAGCUGAGCCGCAAUACUGAGCAGAGCAGAGAGAUCUUACAGGAAGGCAAGAUGAGUAACCGAAACAAGACAUUCAAUUCAUUUUUUCAAGUUCAUUAAGCGAUUUUAAGGUUAUCGCAAUCGCAGAUGCCUUUUGCCUUGUCCUAGACGUUUAGCAUCUUCUGCUAUUGAAGAUAUAGGCAUGGGAGGCUCAGAUCAACCAAUCCAUUGAUUUUGUAUCAAUCUUUUGUAUCAUUUAUAUACGCUACAUAUUUCUUUUGAUUUUUCUUGCUUUAUUAGUUAACCCAUCAUGGAACAAAUAUUGCCGUUGAAUAUUA